GAAGAAUGGACUUUGAUUAGCUCCACCUGGAAUACAGGCUCAAACAUGACUUUUACUCUUUUUCUUGGGUGUGGGUCUACACGAUCCUCCCUUUAAAGGGACAGGCCAACCUUUGGAAUAUGACUUGAAAGGCUGGAAGAGUAAUCACUUGAGAUCUGACAAUGAACUGGACUGGAUAGAAGAUAAAUAAUAAGAGGUUGUUCUUGUUAAUUGCAAAGUUCUUAUAAAGUUGGAGAGCUUUCAUUGAAAAGUGUUCAGCUGUAUCAAUUGCAGAGACUUCUUACAAAUAAAAACAUACAAAACACUAGCA
rnacentral:lncRNA from 12 species